GCCGCGGUAAUUCCAGCUCCAAUAGCGUAUAUUAAAGUUGUUGUGGUUAAAAAGCUCGUAGUUGGAUCUCGGCGGACUGAGGGCGGUUUGCUUGCUAGUAUUACUGCCCUAUAGUCCGUAGUUUUGCCAGAGGUUUCGGGGUGCUCUUAAUCGAGUGUCCCGGGAUGCUGGCAGGUUUACUUUGAAAAAAUUAGAGUGCUCAAAGCAGGCUAUUACGCCUGAAUAUUCGUGCAUGGAAUAAUAGAAUAGGAAGUCGUUUCUAUUUUGUUGGUUUUCGGAAAUCGACUUAAUGAUUAAUAGGGACAGUCGGGGGCAUUUGUAUUCAAACGACAGAGGUGAAAUUCUUGGACCGUUUGAAGACAAACUACUGCGAAAGCAUUUGCCAAGAAUGUUUUCAUUAAUCAAGAACGAAAGUUAAAGGUUCGAAGGCGAUUAGAUACCGCCCUAGUUUUAACCAUAAACGAUGCCAGCUAGCGAUCUGCGGACGUUUUUUUUGUAGACUCCGCAGGAAGCUUCCGGGAAACCAAAGCAUUUGGGUUCCAGGGGAAGUAUGGUUGCAAAGCUGAAACUUAAAGGAAUUGACGGAAGGGCACCACCAGGAGUGGAGCCUGUGGCUUAAUUUGACUCAACACGGGAAAUCUCACCAGGCCCGGACACUGGAAGGAUUGACAGAUUGAUAGCUCUUUCUUGAUUCGGUGGGUGGUGGUGCAUGGCCGUUCUUAGUUGGUGGAGUGAUUUGUCUGGUUAAUUCCGAUAACGAACGAGACUCUGUCCUGCUAAAUAGUGUCUGCUUCUCUUUUGAGCAGACAAUUCUUCUUAGAGGGACUGGCGACUCUUAGUCGCACGAGAUUGAGCAAUAACAGGUCUGUGAU
rnacentral:rRNA from 1 species